UCACAGCUUCAUGCCGGUAGAUGAAGCUAUUGAAAACUACAAGGGUCAGGUGAAAUCUACCUUCGAAUCUCUCACAGAAAAGGAAUCAGACAUCCAGGAAGAGGAGCAGCAACAGAAAGAGAACAUUUCUGGAGUUCAGAAACAGUCACACAACCUUCAGUCACAGGUCACAUCCCAGUUUGCUGAACUGCACCAG